GUCUCGGUAGUUUAAAGAUUUAGGACGCUCGCACGGAAUGUUAGAAAUCCGGGUUCGACUCCCGACUGAGAUA
rnacentral:tRNA from 1 species